UGAGGAGGAGGGCUACCCGGCAACCAUUACGAGAAAGGGGCAUGGCUUGGGCUGGCAUGAAGAAAAUGGCGUCAGAUGUUUUCAAAUUUAAUCGUCAUUUAAGGUCAUUAAAAGAGGACAUCGGCACUACAAAAUAAUGUUAUCUUGAUUCGCUGGAGACAUUUCCUCAAUCUUGAAUCAAGCAUUUUGUCUCGGCCUUUUCCUAUGGAGACACUGGGUAGCUGUCAUUGCUGAUGAAGAAUCAAGGCAGCGGUAUGAAAAGGCAGUGGUUUGAAAAAGGCAGCAGUUAUCAGAUCUUAUUACAAGUGGUCUUCAGUUCCAGAUGAAUUUGGCCUAAAAUUCAAAAUCAACUCUGUCAUAUAAAACAGCUCCAUUUAGAAUGUACUGGACUGACCCGUCAGCCAUUAAUUGAAUACUGGAAAGAAAUUUGUUUCUGAUUUCUGCAGUAGUUUUGAGAGAAAGUAAUUGGUGGGUUAAAUUCAUAGUUUCUGCUCGCUAGAUGAAAGAGAUUGCCACUGCAUAAAGUUUGAGAAUAUUAUGGGAAUUUGCUGUGGAAUCAUUUCUUCAUGACCUUGUUUGAUAAAGGCAGUGGUUAUCAAAUCUUGUUACAAGCGUUUCAGUUCCAGAAGACUAUUCUCUGAAGUUCGAAAUCAACUCUGUCGGAUAGAACAUCUUCAGUUACUUUGAAUUCGAUUCAUCUGGCAGCCAUUUAUUGAUUAGUGGAAAGAAAUUGCUUCCUGAUUUCUUGAAUUAUUCUGAGAGAAAGUAAUUGGUCGUUGUUUGAUUGGCAUAGGUAAAUGCUCUGAAUCUUGAAGUCCAUCACCAUUCACUAUGUGCUUUUAAGUCCCUGCAGCCAUUAAUUUGCUGCUGGAAAGACAGCGAUUCCUCAGUUAUUGAGUCGUUCUCAGAGAAUAUAAUUGGUCAGUUGUUCUGAGGAAUGACUUCACUUGGGAAGAUGCACAAGAAGAAGAGGCGGAAGAAGACGUUGCAGAAGAAGAAGAUGCACAAAAGGAUUUUCACAAGAAGAUGAAGCAAAGAAGAUCAAAUGAAGAACUGUUGAGAAGAUGGACAGAUGAUACAGAAUGCAUUCAUGUAAAUAAUUUUGAUUGUGAAUGGGUUAGAAAUGCGGUGUUUGCUGGCAAGUAACUUACUUCGAAACUGUCAUUGGGUAAAAUUUACGAUUCCAUCCCAGUUUGCUUGGGUACGCUCAGGGAGAAAUGAGCACUGAAAGAAUUUCACAAGGGUGCGCUCAGGGAGCAGCAAGCAGCAAAAGCGGGAACUGACCCAAGGGGAGCUUGCGCUGUUUUUGCUUUUGUGUGCAUGUUUGUGCAUGUAUUGACUCUUAGUUUGUUAAGGGUGAAAUUCAAUUGUUUGUUUAACAAGUUGCUUGCCAGCAUUGACUGCAUUUUCAAUCCACCAUAAGGGAAAAUGUCAUUUGAGCAGCUUUUUCAACCAAAAAAGAAGACCCUGUGUUUUCACAUCAAAGUUUGUAUAGGUAAAACUUAUAAUAGGUUCCCCCAGCAUGCUCAAUUUUCCCUUGACUUUGCUUCAUAUAUUAUUUCAAUUCUUAACUUUUAUUCCACUACAUUACAAAUUUUGCAUUCCCCAAGUUUUACCCAACAUCUUGAAUUCAUUUGUACAACAGUUUAUUUUCAUCCAAGAAAAGUAUAAAUCGAUUGCGUUUGAUGACCCUUUAACAGAGGUUUCAGUAUUGGUUUAAGUUUUCGACUUAUCAAAUUGAUGAUAUCUGUGAAAUACCCAGGAAAUCACGUUAUAGGCGUAUUUCUUCCAGUCUACAGUUUUGGCACCUUGGUUUACAAAAAUAACUUCCAUUCACCAAAAAGUGUGUUUCUAAGACUGAUAUUUUUUUAAAUUUUUGCUGAAUGAAGUAAUUUUGAUAGGUGCAUAUCCCAUAGGUAAACAUCUAAACAAAAGUUAGUUAAUAGUUAUGAAAAGCUGCUUGAAUGACCAAUUUCGAACUUCCUGCCAAUUUUAGUGCUUGAAGCGAUGAAGAUUCGCAAAUAUUGUACAUUAACAAAAAAAAAUUUUCGUCAGAUAAAUUUUCGGCGGAUAAACUUCGUCAAAAAUAUUUCGGACAACUUUUGAGAAUCUCGUCGUGACAAAAUUUCGUCUAAAAUUUUUAACACAGAUAUUAUCAGUAUCGUAAGAGGCAAAACCAUGCAGUUUGCUUCAUAUUCAGUCCAAUAGGUACCGACUCUGUGGAGACUUCGGGGCUUGAGCACCCGUUCGAAAUUGGGCUUAUCCUCCGAGGCUGCUCUUUUACACAGAGCGGGAAACCCAAAUUAGGAAACCCAAAUUAAAGCGGUUAUUUUCUUAGUUUAUGCAAACUUGGGAUCAAUAUAGAUGCCUUUAGCAUUCAAAAAGUCUCUACUCUAAUCUACAUGGUAUCAAAAUUUAUAGAUGGAGUAUAAUUAUAAGUAUAGGUGUGAGUAUAAGUAUAAGAUUCGAAAAACAUAAGACCAUCUCCUAAAGGAAAAGUUCGAAAUCGGUUCCCUGUAGAGUUCAAAACUUGGGUUGCAAAGUGCAAAUUCCUUGAACGAAAGAAGGAAAUAGUACAGUUGAGUUAAAAAAGACAGAGUUGGAAUCCUCUGAAACCGGCGACAAAACACAGUUAGAGCAGUAGCGUGGCCAGGAUAAUAAGACUCGGGGGGGGGGGGGGGGGGUGUUGGGCAAAGGUGAGUUGAGCAGGAAACAUUAGGAUCAUCACCCUUUAUUAGACCAAACCAAAGAGACUUUUUGCUGUUGGGGGUGACGUCCGCCCCUCAUUACGCCAGUAAAUUAGAACUAUUUUUAUCGAAUGAUAGUCAAAACCAAGUUAGUUCAAGAACCGACAAUGAUGAUGAUGAUGCCUACGAUAGAGAUAAUUAUGAAGAUGAUAUAAAGGAGGAAGUGACGUGAUUUACAUGGAAUAGAUAGAAAAGAGACAUAAAUUUGAUUGUUGACCCCAUGGAUAGUUUUCCUAUUAGAAUUUCCAAAAACUUUAAUGCAAAAAUUUCGUCGUGACAAAAUUCGUCUCAUCUUGAAUUUAGUCGAAGAAAUUUUCGUCAAAAUUUUGUCACGACGAAAUUUUUUGUAGUUAAUGUAAAAUGAUACUUUCCAGCCUGGUUUUUUGCUCAAAUGAGUGUACCACCUUCAAAAGCUAUUUUAUACCCUUGCAUUUGAGGCAACAAAAUCUGACUUGCAUCAGCAGAAAGCGCAGAUCCACAGAUAAACACGGCCGUACAUUGGAUAUAUCGAUGUGCCAUGCGAUAUUGUAAAUGAUACAUGUGACCAAAACCGCUAAGCAAGGAUAAUCGGCUUAACAGGUCAAGAGAUUUUCAGGCCUCAACUAAAAGUUUUGAAAAAGAAAUUAUGGAAACCUUCGUUUGGAUGUAAUUUUUUCCAUUAUCAAAAUUUCUGUUAGUUUCAAUAUUGUAAAUGAUACAUGUGACCAAAACCGCUAAGCAAGGAUAAUCGGCUUAACAGGUCAAACUAUCUCACGACCUCAACUAAAAACAUUGAUAAAGAAGUUAUGGAAACCUGCGUUUACAUGGAAUGUUUUGCAUUUUCAAAACUUCUGCUAGUUUUAAACAUGGUAUCAAUGAGUGCCUUAAGAGUGCGGAUGCCUUAAAAUCACUGUGUGUCUUAAAAGUGCGGCUACCAGAAUGUGAAGAAAUCGAAAAAUUUAUGUUUUCGUCCAGAAAACGUUUACCGUAACUUCUGGGUCUAAUAGAAAGCACACGCUUUAUAAAAAAGAUGCAGAAAAGACUGGCGCCUUUUUCAGUUGGCUACAUUAUUCCGCAAACGCAGUUGGAAAGUUGUAUGUGUGAAUGAAUUGUAAAUGCGAAAGGGAGUUGAGCCCGGGUAACUUUUCAACUGCGUAUGCAGAAUAAGACCCGGAAACUUGUCCGGAAACUUUUUCGUAACUCAGUUUAAAUGAAAUUCACGAAACUUGCAUGAUGGCAUUAACUUCAUGUUAUUAAAAAGACAAGUCAUCAAGUUCGUAAGGUUGGUAAGUGGUUAAUUACAUAUGUCUAGAUUAAACUGUUACCAAUUAGAAUCUAGAAGAAACUACUCUAUACGCUCGACGGGUGUCAGCCAACAAGCCUCUCUUCUUUGGUCAUUUGUUUUGCACCACGUGAUACUUUUCAGCCUCUUAAUAGAGGAGCUUGUCCCGGUUGCUAUAGAGAAGUUUAGCGGUGUUUCGAACCCGUUCAUUAAGUUCGCUCACCCUACUGUACGCUCAGACAGUUGUAGUUUAAUCAAGUUUUAUAAGGCUGUAAUACCGCUACUCCAAGCGCUAAGCCUCGCUCUUACCUGCCUCGUUUGCGCAUUUCCUUCGCCCCAUUCAUCCACUAUCCCAGCGUUAGUCAUACUUGUUAGUGCAUACUCUUUUGCGUCAACUUGCAUCACACUCUUUGUUGCAUUGCGUAUACUAGUAGGAACACUUUCACUAAGGAAACCCACCCUCUAUUAUAGUAUUAUUUUAAGAACUACACUAUGGAUUGACUCAGCUUAUACAUACGUAUCUAGAAUCAUUCCUAUUGUUUUUCUAGCUUGUUUUUCCUCUUAUGUAGACACCUAAGAUUAGCACAUUUACAUCUUUUAUUUGUACAAGGAACUAGUUUAACAUAUAUAUAUCGUUCUCUACGAAUCCUGAGUUAGUUAAGAGUUAGAGCUAGCAUUGUGAGCACGUACACUUCGCUCUUGUGAAAGGCUUAGUGGCACAAGUCAUACAACGAUAUACGUUUGAGAAAACUAUAUCUGUGUUUAUUUGUUGUGUCAUUCUGACGUUUUGCCGGACAUUUAGCUCGGAACCUGCCGUAUUUAGAAACCAAUUUACAAGGCAUACUUUUAGAGAAAAGUGUCAUCCUUUUCUUUCUGUGUUUCCUGUAUUUGUUCACGUUUUACUCUUGAAUUUUAGAUACCAUCACGCAGCUUUUCCCGUUAAUGGUAAAAAAGAGUUUUACUAUCGAAUAUUUCUUCACCUUUUCAACCCCAAUAUGCAAGGCUUGAUAAAAUGAUCCUUUCAUUUAUUCCUAUAUCAUUGGAUUUUUGACAUUUUCUUGACAGUAGACACAGCACCCCCCUCCCCCCCCCCCGCCCUCCUUGACAAAAAUGGUUUUGCUGAUUUUUCUUAACACAGAUUUGAUAUUAUCGUAGGCGCGGAGGAGCAAUUGCCUGUGAACUCCCAAGAGACACUUCUCCCGCUUAUAUUUUUAAUUGUUGGUUUCCCCUUUGGACUACCUGUGGUUCAUUCAAAUUGAAUCUCCCUUGAGUAUCCCAGGUUUUCGUAGAACAUAAAUAAGCAAUCCAUUUGUUUUAUAAUCAAUAUUCUGAAUUAUAAACCAGAUAUUAAGUAUGAUGCAUAACAAAGUUUUGAUGAUGCUAAUGGAAACUUGAGGAUAAUAUCGUUCGCUCUGGCAUUCUGCAAUGAAUUCGGCAAUGUUUUCGAAGGUUUAUGCUAUCCAAGAUGGCCUACUUGAUGGUGCUCUAUUGUGACUUCAGCUAGAUCUAUAAAUCAACUAAAUCUCUAAACUUCUCAACUUUGUUCGAUACUGGAUUUUGUAUUGCAUCGUAAAGCUUCGUCAAGUAGAAGACGUUCGAUGCCUUGACGCAGAGGUAGAGGACGCAGGCUGAUUGCAUUCAAUUGAGAUAAAGUCGAAGAUUCACCAUCGUGUCCUUCCUACGUUCUGAAAGAAGGUUUGUUGACUCUACCCUUUAUACCUUUGGCUAAAUUUAUUUUGGAAGUAUUCUGAUUCAACUCUAAAUUUGAAUUCUAAAAGAUUAAUACUACAGCAAAUUUAAGAACGGUCUUACCCU